GAUGAACGCUGGCGGCGUGCUUAACACAUGCAAGUCGAUCGGAAAGGCCCAAGCUUGCUUGGGUACUCGAGUGGCGAACGGGUGAGUAACACGUGGGUGAUCUGCCCUGCACUUCGGGAUAAGCCUGGGAAACUGGGUCUAAUACCGGAUAGGACGAUGGUUUGGAUGCCAUUGUGGAAAGUUUUUUCGGUGUGGGAUGAGCUCGCGGCCUAUCAGCUUGUUGGUGGGGUAAUGGCCUACCAAGGCGUCGACGGGUAGCCGGCCUGAGAGGGUGUACGGCCACAUUGGGACUGAGAUACGGCCCAGACUCCUACGGGAGGCAGCAGUGGGGAAUAUUGCACAAUGGGCGCAAGCCUGAUGCAGCGACGCCGCGUGGGGGAUGACGGCCUUCGGGUUGUAAACUCCUUUCGCUAGGGACGAAGCGUUUUGUGACGGUACCUGGAGAAGAAGCACCGGCUAACUACGUG
rnacentral:rRNA from 1 species